rfam:Methyloprofundus sedimenti strain WF1 Contig001, whole genome shotgun sequence.
UAUCUCCUACAGUGUUCGACAGUGGAGUGGGUGUUUCUUGGACCUAUUCUGACCCCGGGAGUCGAUUCUUGUACUGGUGCGCAUGUCCGUUCGCGGAAAGCCUGAAAUGCAGGAUAGAUACCCACUUGAACCUUUUGGUUCAAGAACGAUGCUUCACAUCGGCACAGGUGGGAGAUAC